rnacentral:rRNA from 1 species
AUUGAACGCUGGCGGCAGGCCUAACACAUGCAAGUCGAACGGUAACAGGAAACAGCUUGCUGUUUCGCUGACGAGUGGCGGGCGGGUGAGUAAUGUCUGGGAAACUGCCUGAUGGAGGGGGAUAACUACUGGAAACGGUAGCGAAUACCGCAUAACGUCGCAAGACCAAAGAGGGGGACCUUCGGGCCCCUUGCCCUCGGAUGUGCCCAGAUGGGAUUAGCUAGUAGGUGGGGUAACGGCUCACCUAGGCGACGAUCCCUAGCUGGUCUGAGAGGAUGACCAGCCACACUGGAACUGAGACACGGUCCAGACUCCUACGGGAGGCAGCAGUGGGGAAUAUUGCACAAUGGGCGCAAGCCUGAUGCAGCCAUGCCGCGUGUAUGAAGAAGGCCUUCGGGUUGUAAAGUACUUUCAGCGGGGAUGAAGGGAGUAAAGUUAAUACCUUUGCUCAUUGACGUUACCCACAGAAGAAGCACCGGCUAACUCCGUG